AACGGGCCUCGCAGCAGCACGAACGACCUAUCGCGCACACACACACACACACGCACAAGCGCUCCUGGAUGUAAAACGACUGACAGCUGAUUUCACGAACAGUUGUUGUGCCCGCUGGACAAGGCGAGGGUUUUUGACGUUCAAAAAUAGCUGCAUCUCGCUCAUUUUCUCUAGCCGUCCUUUAAUUCGCACGCAGUGCUCGUUUCGAGCGCAUAGGAUCGCCGUUCAAAGUGCUCGCACGCCCGCAGCUGAGCGAGAUGUGAUGAAGCAAAACAUCCGGCAACAGGCAAGUUUGCAAAAAAUGAUUGAUUUCAAGCAUUAGAUGAACAAGGCGUGCUCUUCUUCAAGUUGCAGAUUAACCGCAUGAGCUGCUGUGCCAGAAGUGCGUCAAGUUGCAGUGGGUAAUUUGGAAGAGUGAUUUUCUUUUUUGUACACAACCAUCGACCGGUAUGGAUAGCAAUAGAAAAUGGGACUGCGACACUAUACAAGAAUGCACGUAUGUGACCACGUCCUCGUGCGCCGAUAUACAGAUCAACGGAAUGCAGCUGAGCUACCGAUCAGGGAAAAACCAUGGCCAAUAUGUCCCGACUGCUUGCCCGGUUAACCACGUCGUGCUGGCAUGAUCAGGAUGCAAAUAAUUGUCAUUCGGACCAGGCUGUCUUCCUUCAUCCUCAUCUGUUCUUGAUCGGCGAUAAGUACUGCUCUACCUGCUCCAGGCCUCUAGUUUGCUGGACGGUCCUGAGCGUAGCGCCAUGCGGCAGAUCGUUCGUUCUCAAGCACUUUCUUGGCGUGACAUGCGGCCGCUGUUCAAUAUGUGGCGGUAGUUGCAUCCUAUUGGUUUUACAUAGCUCAGAAAGAUGAUCCGGAGGAUCCUCGGAUGCUUCGCUCACAUGAAAUCCAAAGUGCUUGAGAGCGACGUUGUUACCGCCUGUUAUUGGUGUUUGGUGUUUGAGUGUUUGAUACACGGAGACACGCAGUGAGUUCGUUAUUUGAAUCAAGUGAGUGGUACAGCCAGGGGUGGAAGGAGGCAUUCAUGGACCAAUCAAACUGGUAUACGUUUGACACACUUCUUGGCCGUGUCAACACGGCGUGUUCAACUAUGAAUGGGCCACCUAAGAAAGGGAAAAAAGUAGAAAAAAUGUCAAUGUUUUUUUCUCUUGAUCCUUUUCUGCG